UACGUAGGUUCCGAGCGUUAUCCGGAUUUACUGGGCGUAAAGCGCGUUCAGGCGGUUUGGCAAGUCGGGCAUGAAAUCUCUCGGCUCAACCGGGAGAGGUUGUCCGAUACUUCCAGACUUGAGGGCAGUAGAGGGUGGUGGAAUUCCGGGUGAAGUGGUGAAAGUGCGUAGAUAUCCGGAGGAACACCAGUGGCGAAAGCGGCCACCUGGACUGCGCACCUGACG
rnacentral:rRNA from 1 species